AGCAGAAGCUGCCAGCUGGCUAAUCAGAGGGGUUGGGGGGGCUGACUACACGGCAGCUGUAACAUGCUACACAGGCGGCAUGUUGAAAGUGCCAGUUGAGAGGAGACAGAGAAAGGGGCAGAGAAGAGAGAGCAAUACAAAAGAGAGAGCACACUCUAUAGACAAGAGACGGAAUGACAGACAGAGAGAGAAGGCAACAGCGGGUGAACGGCAGAUGGAAAUGAUUCACUGUCCAAGGAUUGCACCAAACGUGCCUGGGUGGCAUGCUUCAAAACAGAAGCUCUAUCUAUGAAUUCCUGAGGUCUGAGAGCUGGCUCUGAUACUUCAUUGAUUAGGAAUGUUUGGAACCAUUUUCUUCUCGGCAUGAUUUACAGGAGAAGAGAAAAUGAGUGCCAGCUAAAGAUUGAUAUGAACAUCUGUGGUCUAGAGCCAAUCAUUUCUGAAUCUGGCUCUGAAAAUUCUGCAGCCAUAUUGGCAUCUGCAACAUUUCCAGUUAAUUCAUAACAAUACUGUACUCCUGAGUCAAAAAUAUUCACUGUUCAUGUUAA